rnacentral:rRNA from 1 species
UACGUAGGGUGCAGGCGUUAAUCGGAAUUACUGGGCGUAAAGCGUGCGCAGGCGGUUUCUUAAGUCAGAUGUGAAAGCCCCGGGCUUAACCUGGGAACUGCGUUUGAAACUGGGAGACUUGAGUGUGGCAGAGGGGGGUGGAAUUCCACGUGUAGUAGUGAAAUGCGUAGAUAUGUGGAGGAACACCGAUGGCGAAGGCAGCCCCCUGGGUUAACACCGACGCUCAUGCACGAAAGCGUGGGGAGCAAACAGG